rnacentral:rRNA from 1 species
GACGAACGCUGGCGGCGUGCUUAACACAUGCAAGUCGAACGCUGAAGACCUGGCUUUUGUUGGGUUGGAUGAGUGGCGAACGGGUGAGUAACACGUGAGUAACCUGCCCUCUUCUUUGGGAUAACGCCCGGAAACGGGUGCUAAUACUGGAUAUUCACUGAUCUUCGCAUGGGGGUUGUGGAAAGGUUUGUUCUGGUGGGGGAUGGGCUCGCGGCCUAUCAGCUUGUUGGUGGGGUGAUGGCCUACCAAGGCUUUGACGGGUAGCCGGCCUGAGAGGGUGACCGGUCACAUUGGGACUGAGAUACGGCCCAGACUCCUACGGGAGGCAGCAGUGGGGAAUAUUGCACAAUGGGCGAAAGCCUGAUGCAGCGACGCCGCGUGAGGGAUGGAGGCCUUCGGGUUGUAAACCUCUUUCGCUCAUGGUCAAGCCGCAACUGUGGGUUGUGGUGAGGGUAGUGGGUAAAGAAGCGCCGGCUAACUACGUG